rnacentral:rRNA from 1 species
CGACCGGCGCGACGGGUGAGUAACGCGUAUGCAACUUACCUAUCAGGAGGGGGAUAACCCGGCGAAAGUCGGACUAAUACCGCAUGAAGCAGGGGCCCCGCAUGGGGAUAUUUGCUAAAGAUUCAUCGCUGAUAGAUAGGCAUGCGUUCCAUUAGGCAGUUGGCGGGGUAACGGCCCACCAAACCGACGAUGGAUAGGGGUUCUGAGAGGAAGGUCCCCCACAUUGGUACUGAGACACGGACCAAACUCCUACGGGAGGCAGCAG